rnacentral:rRNA from 1 species
CCUACGGGCGGCAGCAGUGGGGAAUAUUGGACAAUGGGCGAAAGCCUGAUCCAGCCAUGCCGCGUGUGUGAAGAAGGCCUUCGGGUUGUAAAGCACUUUCAGUGGGGAAGAAAGCCUUGGGGCUAAUACCCUCGAGGAAGGACAUCACCCACAGAAGAAGCACCGGCUAACUCCGUGCCAGCAGCCGCGGUAAUACGGAGGGUGCGAGCGUUAAUCGGAAUUACUGGGCGGAAAGCGCGCGUAGGCGGUCUGAUAAGCCGGUUGUGAAAGCCCCGGGCUCAACCUGGGAACGGCAUCCGGAACUGUCAGGCUAGAGUGCAGGAGAGGAAGGUAGAAUUCCCGGUGUAGCGGUGAAAUGCGUAGAGAUCGGGAGGAAUACCAGUGGCGAAGGCGGCCUUCUGGACUGACACUGACGCUGAGGUGCGAAAGCGUGGGUAGCAAACAGGAUUAGAUACCCCAGUAGUC